rnacentral:lncRNA from 1 species
UCCUUUUGGAAGAAUUUAGUUGAUCUCAUCAAAUCCUUUGAACUUAACCAUUAGCCUAUCAUUAUGUGCAAGAUUAACUUAUCAUAAAAAAAAAAUGGGAAGAGAACAAAAUUAACCAACUAUCUACCUUAUAGAAAAGUCGCAAGAACUAAAGAAACCAAUACUCUAUUUUUUUUUACUUGUGUCUAAACUUUGAAAUUGGUUUCAACCUUUUUGAAAUUAUGCCUAAUUUUUCAAACCUAAAAGCUCCCUUUAGGCAUAUAGAGUUAUAAAUUAUAAUACCUCACAUGCUUGAGUAACCCUUUUGGUAUACAAAAAAACAAGGAUAAGUGCACUCUUUUCUCAUAGCAUGGCCAAGAUGACCCACAAGGAAGGAUCUCGAAUGUUUGCACACUCAUAACUUUGUAAUUAAACAUCUACUUUAAAAGUCAUAUGAUUAAGAUCAAACGAUCCAAAUUUUAAUAUCAAUAUUAAUAAAAAAAUCACAUUAAAUGUUUGACCGUUCCUCAAUCGAACGACUUUGAAGUGUUAAAUUGUGUAAUGUGACAACACAUAAUCCAAAUCCUACAAGAAAUGCGACAUUUGGAUCUACUGCAGACUGCAAUUUUAUAAAUAAACACAAUUAUACGCAUUAACUGAUACCGUCAAUUAAUUUAAGAUGAGUCACAUUACACCUUCACUAAUUUUUCAUUAAAUUAUAUUUAUCAUUAAUUUCAGAUCAGACAAUCAAAAUCAAUAACUAAUUGCGUGAUGCAUUUACUGCGUUUAAUUUCAACAUGGCCUUAGCUAGCCUAUAAGGCCAUAACCCCACCACCCCAUAUCCUCACUCACUCAAAAGCUGGCAUUAUUAGACAUUGAAAGUGAUUGAAGUGGAAUCCAAUGAAUAUACAGCUUAUAGUAAAAUAAAAAUUAAAUGAAGAAAAGUAAUUGGCUAUAGUAUUGUAUAGUAGCAUAAAGUAAUUGGCUAUAUUUAGAAAGAAAGAAGAUAAGAACUAAGAAGAGUACACACAAAAGUUGAACACUUACAUUCUUUGUUCAGAAAAUUGGGAUCUGGGCAUUUUUAGAUUGGAAAUGAAAUUCUUGUUCCAAUGUCCUUGUUGCUCAUGCUUUUGCUUCAUGAAGCCAAAAGCUGGUAGUGCAAAGGUGAAAGAAGUCAAAGAAGUGAAAAAAGCUAAGGAAGUGAAACAACCUACUAAGGAAGUGAAAGAAGCUGCUAAGGAAGAAAAGAUUGAAGAAAAGAAAGAUCAGUGACAUGUAACUAACUUCAUUGCAAACUUUCUUUGAUUAAUGUUAAGUAUUUUCCUAUGUGUGGUUUUUAUGAUUAAUUAAUUAAUAUUCUAAUUAAGCAUAUGCACAAUAAUGUGUGCCUAUUUUGUGCUUCUUUGCUCGUUUAAUUAGCAUUGACAUGCUAUUUUAGUAUGAAUUUGAAAAUGGACAUUAAUUGCCUUUGUAAGUAAAUGCUUAAAGUGGAAAAUAAAAUACUAUUUCAAAUUUUCAAUCUUGCAUACUUUCUUUUUCUUAUGUUAGAUCUGAUCUAUACUUUUCAGUUUGGUUUCUAGUAACUUGAAUCAUGUUUAUAUGUAUUGAAAUUCACUUAGUCAUUAGUCAUGUUUAUCUUAUAUACGUAAAAUGUAUCCGUGUCAGAUACGUGUCAGACAAUAAUACUUUAACAAUUUUAGAGUAUCAGACUUAAAGUUGUUACAACUACCGCUACUUUUAACAUUUGAGAUGAUAUUGAUAGAAAAUGAGAGAUAAUUAUAUAAUUCAUAUACAGCAGUAAUCGUUCACCAAAAAGAGAAGUUCAUACAAUUUUCCUCUAUAUAUUGAAAAAAGAAAGUACACUUUCACUUCAUCCUUUUGCAAAAUAUUUUCUUCUAUAGUUAAUAUUUUUAUAUGAUUCUUAUUUAUCUUUUACUAAGAUAUAAAAGACUUUUCACAUCGAUCAAAAAUCAAUUUUUACUUUAAUUAUGCAAUCGAUGUAGAUACCAUAGAUUUAGAAUGUGGGCACUUUUCACAAUGGUUAAACAAACUCAAUCUACUCGAUGUAAAAAGAUCCCCAUAACUUGUUUUUCAUGGCUUUGGCCUUUGGACCUCUUGUUCAACUUUUACAUCCGUCGUGCCUCUUAUCUAUUGCACAAAAUCAAGAACCGAUGUCAAAAGUGUAUCAAAUCUCCAUUUUUUCCAUUGAUUACGAUGUUGGUUUGAUAAACAAUUUAAUUUGCAGCUUAUAGUAUAAACACUUCUUAAAAAAAAGAGAGUCGAAAUCUAAAAAAUAUCUACAAGCAAAUCAACAUUGUGCAAAAUAUUCGCAUAAUCCGUCAACAAAAAUAACCAAACUUAAACAGGACAAUGCUCAUAAAUCAGUAAAUAAAAUCUCACCUCACAACCCAUAUUGACUAAAACAUCAACCCAACUAUUUACCUCAGGGUAAAAGUGAAAAACUUUAACUUUCCAAUUCAGUUACAACAAAGUGCAGAUCUUCUGAAUAAGUCCCAUACCCAUAACUCCACCUCUCCCACCGUUAGAUAAGUACUGAGCCACUACCUAAAGAAUCAAUACGGAUUUCAAUGACCUUAACUCCACCUCUCCCC